rnacentral:rRNA from 1 species
AUUGAACGCUGGCGGCAGGCCUAACACAUGCGAGUCGAACGGUAACAGGAAGCAGCUUGCUGCUUCGCUGACGAGUGGCGGACGGGUGAGUAAUGUCUGGGAAGCUGCCUGAUGGAGGGGGAUAACUACUGGAAACGGUAGCUAAUACCGCAUAAUGUCGCAAGUCCAAAGAGGGGGACCUUCGGGCCUCUUGCCAUCGGAUGUGCCCAGAUGGGGUCCGCUUGUUGGUGGGGUAACGGCUCACCAAGGCGACGAUCCCUAGCUGGUCUGAGAGGAUGACCAGCCGCUCGGGAACGGGGACGCGGUCCAAACUCCUACGGGAGACACGGCUGGGAAUUCUUGCGGAAGGGGCGCAAGCCUGUUGCAGCCAAGCCGCGUGUGUGAAGAGGGCCUUCGGGUUGUAAAGUACUUUCGGCGGAGAGGAAGAAAAUAAUGUUAAUACCUUUGAUCAUUGCCGUUACCCGAGGAGGAGGCACCGGCUACCUCGUU